GUGUUGUUUGUUAAGGGCACACGGUGGAUGCCUUGGCAUUAUGAGCCGAUGAAGGACGUGUAAGGCCGCGAUAGGCCUCGGGGAGUUGCCAAUAGAGCGUUGAUCCGAGGGUGUCCGAAUGGGGAAACCUGGCCAUGGUUAUGUGUGGUUACCCAUCAGUGAAUUCAUAGCUGGUGUGGGGGUGACGCGGGGAAGUGAAACAUCUCAGUACCCGUAGGAGAAGAAAAUAAUUAAUGAUUCUGCUAGUAGUGGCGAACGAACGUGGAUGAGGCUAAACCGUAUGCGUGUGAUACCUGGCAGGGGUUGCGUGUGUGGUGUUGUGGGGCGUUGUUGGAGGAGGCUGCCGGCUCCUCGCUUGUGAUGUGUGUGUUAGCGGAAGUGGUUUGGAAUGGCCUGCCGUAGUGGGUGAGAGUCCCGUACGUGAAAACAUGUGCAUGCGAGUGGAUGAUGUUCCCGAGUAGCAGCGGGCUCGUGGAAUCUGCUGUGAAUCUGCCGGGACCACCCGGUAAGCCUAAAUACUUAUGAUGACCGAUAGCGGAUUAGUACCGUGAGGGAAUGGUGAAAAGUACCCCGGGAGGGGAGUGAAAUAGUACCUGAAACCGUGUGCUUACAAUCCGUCAGAGCCUCUUUUUGUUAGGUGAUGGCGUGCCUUUUGAAGAAUGAGCCUGCGAGUCAGCGGCAUGUCGCGAGGUUAACCCGUGUGGGGUAGUCGUAGCGAAAGCGAAUCCUAAUGAGGGUGUUUUUUUAGUGGCAUGUCCUGGACCCGAAGCGGGGUGAUCUACCCAUGGCCAGUGUGAAGCAGCUGUAAGAGGUUGUGGAGGCGCGAACCCACUUAGGUUGAAAACUGAGGGGAUGAGCUGUGGGUAGGGGUGAAAGGCCAAUCAAACUCCGUGAUAGCUGGUUCUCCCCGAAAUGCAUUUAGGUGCAGCGUUGUGUGUUUCUUGCUGGAGGUAGAGCUACUGGUUGGUUGAGCGGGACUACAAUCUUAGCAAUGUCAGCCAAACUCCGAAUGCCGGUAAUGUUAAGCAUGGCAGUGAGACUGCGGGGGAUAAGCUCCGUUGGUCGAGAGGGAAACAGCCCAGAUCGCCGGUUAAGGCCCCUAAGGGUGUACUAAGUGGAAAAGGAUGUGGGAUCGCGAAGACAGCCAGGAGGUUGGCUUAGAAGCAGCCAUCCUUGAAAGAGUGCGUAAUAGCUCACUGGUCGAGUGGUUCUGCGCCGACAAUGUAGUGGGGCUCAAGUACACCGCCGAAGCCGCGGCAGUCAGCAAUUUUUUUGUUGGUUGGGUAGGGGAGCGUCGUGCACUGCUGUGAAGCACCUGGGUGACUUGAUGGUGUGGAGUGUGUGCGAGUGAGAAUGCAGGCAUGAGUAACGAAUGAAAAGUGGAAAACUUUUCCGCCGGAUGACUAAGGGUUCCUGGGUUAAGCUAAUCUUCCCAGGGUGAGUCGGGACCUAAGGCGAGGCCGACAGGCGUAGUCGAUGGAUAACCAGUUGAUAUUCUGGUACCCGUGUAUGUGCGCCCAGUGGUGAAUCAGUGGUACUAACCAUCCAUGGAUCUGCUGGUCAUGCUUUGUGUGUGGUUGGUGGUGAUGUGCGUGGGAUCUUCGUUGGUAGUAGCCAAGUGAUGGGGUGACGCAGUGAGGUAGCUGAGCCAUUUAUUGGAUUGUGGUGUAAGCGUGUGGCCCGUGGCAUAGGUAAAUCCGUGUUACAUAGUGGGUGAGGCGUGAUGCGUAGACCUUUGUGGUUGAUGUUGGUGAUCCUGUACUGUCGAGAAAAGCCUCUAGCGAGUGCAUAUAUGGCCCGUACCCAUAACCGACACAGGUGGUCAGGUAGAGAAUACUAAGGCGAUCGGGUGAACUGUGGUUAAGGAACUCGGCAAAUUGCCCCCGUAACUUCGGGAGAAGGGGGACCAUUGCUGGUGACCGACGUGGUUGAGCUGGUGGUGGUCGCAGAGAAUAGAGGGAAGCGACUGUUUAUUAAAAACACAGGUCCGUGCGAAAACGUGGAAGUUGAUGUAUACGGACUGACGCCUGCCCGGUGCUGGAAGGUUAAGAGGACCUGUUAGGGCAUUUUUUGUCCGAAGCGGAGAAUUUAAGCCCCAGUAAACGGCGGUGGUAACUAUAACCAUCCUAAGGUAGCGAAAUUCCUUGUCGGGUAAGUUCCGACCUGCACGAAUGGCGUAACGACUUCCCUGCUGUCUCAACCACAGGCCCGGUGAAAUUGCAGUACGAGUAAAGAUGCUCGUUACGCGCGGCAGGACGAAAAGACCCCGGGACCUUCACUAUAGCUUGGUAUUGGUGUUUGGUUCGGUUUGUGUAGGAUAGGUGGGAGACUGUGAAGUGGUCACGCUAGUGGUUGUGGAGUCGAAAGUUGAAAUACCACUCUGAUCGGAUUGAGCACCU
rnacentral:rRNA from 1 species